GUCCAUGGUUACACCACCCUGCAUCCCACUGCUGGCUUGCUUCUGAAGCUAAGCAGGGUUGGUCCUGGUUAGUCCCUGGAUGGGAGACUAGAUGCUCCUGGAAGUGGUGU
rnacentral:rRNA from 1 species